CUUCAAUUAUACCUUGUCAACAACACACUGCAGAUGGGAUGUUUUAUACUAUCAUGUUUCUUAGCUGAAUUCGUUUAGAUUGCAAGCUUUUGAGACUACUCGCAUCCCUCAUCCAGGCAUGUUAUACAGGCAUAAAUGGAUUUUGCUCUUGCAGAUAGUCACAGCAAGAUACAAAGAUGGCGAAUUCCUAUCAUAUUAGCCCAGUGAUGUCAGGGGGAAAUUUAAAGCUAUGAUUACUUUAGAGAAUGAACUGCAAGCAGUCUUGAAAACAAUCUAAUGCAAUGCAGCUAUCCAAUGAAGGUACCUUGACCAAAUAUCUGGGGUAGCGGAAGAUCGAUGGACUGCAGUAGCACUGAAGUGGUUAUGUGUGUCAUAAUGCGAUCACAGAGAAAAAGGUUAUAUUAAAACAUUUAAAGAGGGUUUUCUUGUUACUGUAUGUUUGAAGGGGUUAACAUUGUGUAUUACUGUGCAAUAGUCUAGUGCAUAGUGUAGUGACAGUGUAGUCAGUGUCUCUUACAAACAUAUCAUCCCUGACACCGUUAUUAUAACACGCUUGUUGAAAGCUUGGCAGACUAGCCAGUAAACAGUUAAAAGGGUCUUUUUUAAGAAAGACUGUUAUUAGAACCUCUUUACACGUUAACUGUUGCGGGUCUGGACCUUUUAGAACACUUUCAGUGGGGGAGCCGCUGAAGAUCAUGCAUAUGAAUAGGUUUGUAAGGUGAAGCAGCCUUGAACACAUCAACAUAUUGAACAAUAUGGCAGAUUUGACAUUUGCGGCAUAGGAAAGUACUCGGGUGAAGCACACAGGACUUUGUAUACCUCAAACGCAUGGUCCCUUUGACAUACACAUAUGCAUGGUUUAUAGUAGCAACUACUUACAUACUGUAGAAGUUAUAAUCGUAUCAGACAGUGCUCUACAACAUGUCAUAAGUCAGAUUUCCUACCCUAGUUUAUAUGUACAUUUUCCUUAUCACAAUGUAUAUUGUAAGCGCAUGCAUGAGAAAACAUUGGCUAGAAAUAGACAUAAUGAAUUUUUACAGAUAAAGAAAUCCCUUAUUUUAGGUGCUAUUGUGUCUCCAACUAGCGCUGGACACACAGUGUGACAUUUCUUAUGAACCCUUUGAUCACGCUGUGUGUUGUAUCUUGAUUUAAGUGUAUCAUUUGGUCAAAUUGUUUCUCCACAUCCUGUUUGCGAUUAUAUAGAAAUGGCACAGACAGCAACAAAAAAGUUUAAAGAAGGUGUAUGCAGAGCAUGGGUAAAAUGGGAAUGGGGGGGAUUACUGGUGACCAAGCCUUCUUUUCUCCUGUAGAGGCUCUUAAAAAGGUUUUUGCUGAACAUAGCUGAUUUUCCUUGUUUUUACAUGAUUUUAUGGAUUUUUCUUGUAUUUUCAUAAAAUUUGUCAUCUGAAAUCUA